AACGUAGGAGGCGAGCGUUAUCCGGAUUUACUGGGUGUAAAGCGCGAGCAGGCGGUCGGGUAAGUUGUGUGUGAAAGCGCUCUGGCUCAACCGGGCGAGGACAUGCAAAACUGCCGGACUGGAGGUAGGUAGAGGCGAGUGGAAUUCCGGGUGUAGUGGUGAAAUGCGUAGAGAUCCGGAGGAACACCAGUGGCGAAGGCGACUCGCUGGGCCUAAACUGACGCUCAGACGCGAAAGCAUGGGGAGCGAACGGG
rnacentral:rRNA from 1 species